GAUGAACGCUAGCGGCAGGCCUAAUACAUGCAAGUCGAACGGCAAGAGUUUUAGCAAUAGAACUCCUAGAGUGGCGAACGGGUGCGUAACGCGUAUGCAACCUACCCUAUACAGGGGGAUAGCCCGGAGAAAUCUGGAUUAAUACCCCAUGGUACUAAGUUGAGGCAUUUUGAUUUAGUUAAAGAUUCAUCGGUAUAGGAUGGGCAUGCGUCUGAUUAGCUAGUUGGCGGUGUAACGGACCACCAAGGCGACGAUCAGUAGGGGUUCUGAGAGGAAGGUCCCCCACACUGGCACUGAGAUACGGGCCAGACUCCUACGGGAGGCAGCAGUAGGGAAUAUUGGGCAAUGGACGAGAGUCUGACCCAGCCAUGCCGCGUGCAGGAAGACGGCGUUCUGCGUUGUAAACUGCUUUUAUCUGGGAAGAAAAAGUCCAUGCGUGGAAAAUUGCCGGUACCAGAUGAAUAAGCAC
rnacentral:rRNA from 1 species